rfam:Triticum urartu cultivar G1812 contig712812, whole genome shotgun sequence.
GGAUACGAUCAUACCGACACUAAAGCAUCGGAUCCCAUCAGAACUCCGAAGUUAACCGUGCUUGGAUGAGAGUAGUACUAGGAUGGGUGACCUCCUGGGAAGUCCUCGUGUUGCAUUCC